UACGAAGGGGGCUAGCGUUGCUCGGAUUGACUGGGCGUAAAGGGCGCGUAGGCGGUUCGUACAGUCAGACGUGAAAUUCCUGGGCUCAACCUGGGGGCUGCGUUUGAUACGUGCGGACUUGAGUGCGGAAGAGGGUCGUGGAAUUCCCAGUGUAGAGGUGAAAUUCGUAGAUAUUGGGAAGAACACCGGUGGCGAAGGCGGCGACCUGGUCCGAUACUGACGCUGAGACGCGAAAGCGUGGGGAGCGAACAGG
rnacentral:rRNA from 1 species